AAUUAACGCUGGCGGCAUGCGUAACACAUGCAAGUCGUACGAGAAAGCCCGGUUCGCCGGGCGAGUAAAGUGGCGCACGGGUGAGUAACGCGUGGGUAAUCUACCCCGGUCUGGGGGAUAACGCACCGAAAGGUACGCUAAUACCGCAUGACCCGACGGGUCCCUGGACCCAUCGGCAAAGGUGGCCUCUGCAUGCAGGCUACCGAACCGGGAUGAGCCCGCGUCCUAUUAGCUUGUUGGUGGGGUAAUGGCCCACCAAGGCGACGAUGGGUAGCUGGUCUGAGAGGACGGCCAGCCACACUGGAACUGGUACACGGUCCAGACUCCUACGGGAGGCAGCAGUGAGGAAUAUUGCGCAAUGGGGGAAACCCUGACGCAGCGAUGCCGCGUGGGUGAAGAAGGCCUUCGGGUCGUAAAGCCCUGUCAGGCGGGAAGAAUAGCCCCGGGGCUAAUAUCUCCGGGGUGUGACGGUACCGCUGAAGGAAGCACCGGCUAACUCCGUGCCAGCAGCCGCGGUAAGACGGAGGGUGCGAGCGUUAUUCGGAAUUAUUGGGCGUAAAGGGCGUGCAGGCGGCCGGCCAAGUCUGAUGUGAAAGCCCGGGGCUUAACCUCGGAAGGGCGUUGGAAACUGGUUGGCUUGAGUUCGGGAGAGGAAAGCGGAAUUUCGGGUGUAGAGGUGAAAUUCGUAGAUAUCCGGAGGGACACCGGGUGGCGAAGGCGGGCUUUCUGGACCCGAACUGACGCUGAGACGCGAAAGCGUGGGGGAGCAACAGGAUUAGAUACCCUGGGUAGUCCACGCUGUAAACGAUGGGCACUUAGGUGUGGGGGAGUUUUUAAUCCCUCCCGUGCGCAGCUAACGCAUAAGUUGCCCGCCUGGGGAGUAACGCCGCAAGGGUAAACUCAAAGGAUU
rnacentral:rRNA from 1 species